UACGUAGGUGGCGAGCGUUGUCCGGAUUUACUGGGCGUAAAGGGAGCGUAGGCGGAUUUUUAAGUGAGAUGUGAAAUGCUCGGGCUCAACUUGAGUGCUGCAUUUCAAACUGGAAGUCUAGAGUGCAGGAGAGGAGAAUGGAAUUCCUAGUGUAGCGGUGAAAUGCGUAGAGAUUAGGAAGAACACCAGUGGCGAAGGCGAUUCUCUGGACUGUAACUGACGCUGAGGCUCGAAAGCGUGGGGAGCAAACGGG
rnacentral:rRNA from 1 species